rnacentral:rRNA from 1 species
AUUGAACGCUGGCGGCAGGCCUAACACAUGCAAGUCGAGCGGCGCGGCGGAGGGGUGAGUAAUGCCUAGGAAUCUGCCUGGUAGCGGGGGAUAACGAUCGGAAACGGGCGCUAAUGCCGCAUCCUCGCAGAUUAGCCUAGGUCGGAUUAGCUAGUUGGUGGGGUAAAGGCCUAGCAAGGCGACGAUCCGUAACUGGUCUGAGAGGAUGAUCAGUCACACUGGAACUGAGACACGGUCCAGACUCCUACGGGAGGCAGCAGUGGGGAAUAUUGGACAAUGGGCGAAAGCCUGAUCCAGCCAUGCCGCGUGUGUGAAGAAGGUCUUCGGAUUGUAAAGCACUUUAAGUUGGGAGGCGUUACCAACAGAAUAAGCACCGGCUAACUUCGUGCCAGCAGCCGCGGUAAUUC